rnacentral:sRNA from 1 species
GUCUUAAAUCAUCAAAUUAGCGAGCGCUGCCAAUUACUCCAAAAGGGGGCUCUCUCUUU